rnacentral:rRNA from 1 species
AGAGUUUGAUCCUGGCUCAGGAUGAACGCUAGCUACAGGCUUAACACAUGCAAGUCGAGGGGCAGCAUUGGAGUAGCAAUACUCAGAUGGCGACCGGCGCACGGGUGAGUAACACGUAUCCAACCUGCCGCUUACUCGGGGAUAGCCUUUCGAAAGAAAGAUUAAUACCCGAUGGUAUAAAGAGUUCGCAUGUUCUCUUUAUUAAAGAAUUUCGGUAAGCGAUGGGGAUGCGUUCCAUUAGAUAGUUGGCGGGGUAACGGCCCACCAAGUCUACGAUGGAUAGGGGUUCUGAGAGGAAGGUCCCCCACAUUGGAACUGAGACACGGUCCAAACUCCUACGGGAGGCAGCAGUGAGGAAUAUUGGUCAAUGGACGAGAGUCUGAACCAGCCAAAGUAGCGUGAAGGAUGACUGCCCUAUGGGUCGUAAACUUCUUUUAUAAGGGAAUAAAGUGAGGGACGUGUCCCUUUUUGUAUGUACCUUAUGAAUAAGGAUCGGCUAACUCCGUGCCAGCCGCCGC